AUGGGGAGGUGUGCGGGGAGACGGACGGGAGGGCGGCGAGCAGGCCGGCGAAGAAGGAGUGGGGGACGCACCCGCUUCUCACCGCGCCCGCUGCUUGCUCGCUGUCCGCGGCGCCCACCGCGCCCGUUGCCCGCCGCACCUGCCGCUCACUGCCGCUGCCCGUCCCAACCCCGACCGAGGUCGCCGUCGUCGCCCGUUCUGCCCCUAGAUGAGGCAGAGCCCGCCAUCGUCGUUGCCACACCGAGGCAGAGGCCUCCCCGCCGCCAGUGCUCCCCCGCGGAUGCCAUCCUCGAGCACGACCACCGCAUCCCGCCGCCACCGUCCUUGACCUUCGUCGCCUGGUUGAGGCUCACAGCGGCAGCCUUUGUCCGCUAG
rnacentral:rRNA from 1 species